rnacentral:rRNA from 1 species
CUGUAAGCCGUUGAAGGUGUGCUGUGAGGCAUGCUGGAGGUAUCAGAAGUGCGAAUGCUGACAUAAGUAACGAUAAAGCGGGUGAAAAGCCCGCUCGCCGGAAGACCAAGGGUUCCUGUCCAACGUUAAUCGGGGCAGGGUGAGUCGACCCCUAAGGCGAGGCCGAAAGGCGUAGUCGAUGGGAAACAGGUUAAUAUUCCUGUACUUGGUGUUACUGCGAAGGGGGGACGGAGAAGGCUAUGUCAGCCGGGCGACGGUUGUCCCGGUUUAAGCAUGUAGGCGGAGGUUCCAGGUAAAUCCGGUACCUUUUAACGCUGAGGUGUGAUGACGAGGCACUACGGUGCUGAAGUGAUAAAUGCCCUGCUUCCAGGAAAAGCCUCUAAGCAUCAGGUAACACGAAAUCGUACCCCAAACCGACACAGGUGGUCAGGUAGAGAAUACCAAGGCGCUUGAGAGAACUCGGGUGAAGGAACUAGGCAAAAUGGUGCCGUAACUUCGGGAGAAGGCACGCUGAUG